rnacentral:tRNA from 1 species
GAGGAUAUAGCUCAGUGGUAGAAUCCCUGCUUAGCAUGCACGAGGUCCUGGGUUCAAUCUCCAGUACCUUCA